CUGCCUACUUGUGCUUCUCUAUCUCUGUCAAAUAAAUAAAUAAAUAAUAUCUUUAAAAAAAAAAAAAAAAAAACCCUGCUAAAUAAAGUCUCAACAACUCAAAAGAAAAAAAUAAGCAAACAAAAUUCCUCACGACAGGGACAUUCUUUGUUCCACCAACUUGGGCAGAGUUCCGACAACUGCCUAUUUCAGUCUAGAGCUUCCAAUUCCUACGCUUUCUCCUGUGGUUGCCGGAAGAGCGAAGGUGUUUUACGUUCAGCGAGAUUCCCGGGGGUGGGUGAGUCUUGCGGAGGCAUUUCCGGAGUGGAGGAGAAGCCUGCGCUUUGCAGUUGCCAUAGAAACCUGACGUCGUGCGGCGACCGUGACGAAUUUUUCAUGGAGACAGGCUUGCCCUCGCAAUGAGAGCAGCUCUUCUUACCAGUGGCCCAGGACUUGAGUCCUGAUGGCUGCUGAAGCUUCUACUCCAGAUUCAAGGGCAGUAGUCCUCAGGAGACCCCAACACUUCACAUUCCUGGUGGAAUAUGACGCCUGGAUCAAAAUUGAUGAAUUCUGUGUUCUUGAGUGGUGAGACAGAGGAAGGAGAGACCAUGUACAUAUAUGAGUAUGUAUGUUUGUGUGUAUGUGUAUAUUGUGGAAGCUGCCAGGAAUCUUUAUGGUGAGGAAUACUUCAGGUUAAUUACUUUACUGUGGUCAUGUCAGUCGUGUUCACUUCCUAGCACAUAAUAGGAAGCAAAUCACAGUGGUUGUUUUUUUCCACCUUCAUUUGGCCAGCCUGGUUACCAUGGCAACUCAGUGACUGCUGUGGUAUCUGGUGGAGAUUGAGCAUUGUUUUAUAAUUCUAGCCUGAAUCCCUUAUUAGGAUCAUGGUUGUCAAGUGUUGCUUUUCUAAUUUCCCCAUUCUUUCCAGGUUUAUUAAUUGAAAUUUGGCUGGAGGUAGGGCUUUCUCUUCUCCCUGUUUAUUUGUUUUUAAAAUUUAUAUCAGUAUGACCCGUAGAUUCCUAUUUUGCAGAAAGAGUUACCAUCUGAUGCUAUAAUUAUUUUUUUUUAUGCUCAAAUGUCUCAGAAUUGGCCAAUGGAAGCCCCUUCAAGUUGACUUCUGUGUCCCUUCGACACUUCCUUAGAACUUUUUCUUUUUUUUUUUUUUUUUAAAGAUUUUAUUUAUUUAUUUGACAGAGAGAGAGAGAGGGAGAGAGAAAGCGAGCACAAGCAGGGGGAGCGGCAGGCAGAGGGAGAAGCAGACUCCCUGCUGAGCAGGGAGCCUGAUGUGGGACUGGAUCAUGACUUGAGCCAAAGGCAGACGCUUAACUGACUGAGCCACCCAGGAGCCCCCAGAAUUCUUUCAACAUUUGCUUUGGUCCCUGAGGCUAUCUUUUAAUCUGUAGAAAGAAAAUUAUGAUGCCCAACUCAGAGCAUCACUUUGAGGAACUGAAGAGAAAAUAACAACCUACAGCAUGUGGCGUCUAGUAGGUCCUCAGGGAAUGUUAUUUCUCCAUUCCAAUUUUGCCUCCUUCAUUCUGUCAAGGCAGUGUUUCUGACAUGAACAUCAUAGCAUGAGUACCAGAGACAAUGCUUGGACAUGGAGCAGCAAGCAGGGAUGAGCCCACAUUUCCAUGAUGUGGGAGCUUCGGUGUCACUGCUGUGUGCGGGAGGGGGCUGUGGGAUGGAGCUGGGGAAGAGGCACAGCAUCACUGGACAGCUUCCAGUGACCUGAGUGGGGACAGGCCAGCACAUGCUCACCCAUUGCCCCUGUGUUUCCUGUGCUCUCCCUUUCUCUCACUUUAUUCUUUAUUCCAUGUGCUGUCUGAUCCCCUGAGUCUCCCGGCUAAUGGAGCAGCAGACAAGGCUGUGGACUCUGAGCCCCUGAAAGAGGAGCCGAUAGAGAAGAACAAAGUGUGAUGUUGAGUGUGCUAGACUGGGUCCUAGAACAAGAGUGAAGAGAUUAAGAUCCUAUCAUUGGGACCAUUUAGCUGACCAAGGACUCCUGAGACCCCUGAGCCCUGCAGGCCUACUUCUGGAACCACCACGGAGUCUGGACACCUGACACAGUCACUGCUACCUGCUGGAGCACUGGCAGCCAAGGUGCGCUUUGGUGUCCAAAGCCCCUGUGUGCUGGGGCUGCAGGUUUGUACCAGGAGGUGCUGUGAAGAAGGCAGAGCCCACUCUUAGCCAACUCCCUCUGUUCAGCUCAUCCUGGGCCUUUCUACUCCAACCCAGCUGCAUAACCAGUCCUUUUAUCUUCUUUAUCCUGAUGCCUUGACUUUGGAACCUACCUCACCCCGGAGGGACUGCCCCUCCCAGGGCUGGCUAAUUUCUAAAGAGAGAGCAGACUGCUAGCGAAGGAAUGUGCCUUUAAUACACAAACCAACCAACCGAGAGCCUCUAUACGCUUGGGGCCACUUUCCCCCUGCUCUCAUAGCCCCAGGGUCAGGUACCAGAUGAUUCAGUCCUCGUGCUCCAGAGCCCACUGCAAUCAUUUAACUAGCCAGUCCUAUGCCUGCCUACUGCCCCACCUGGUCCUUCCCAUGGAAACCACAAUAAAGGCUCUUGCCCAGAUUUUCCUGCUCCCUCUGCCUCCUGACUGACCCUGGU